CAGUAGCCGCGGGAACACGAAGGGGGCUAGCGUUGUUCGGAUUUACUGGGCGUAAAGCGCACGUAGGCGGAUCGAUCAGUCAGGGGUGAAAUCCCAGAGCUCAACUCUGGAACUGCCUUUGAUACUGUCGAUCUGGAGUAUGGAAGAGGUGAGUGGAAUUCCGAGUGUAGAGGUGAAAUUCGUAGAUAUUCGGAGGAACACCAGUGGCGAAGGCGGCUCACUGGUCCAUUACUGACGCUGAGGUGCGAAAGCGUGGGGAGCAAACAGGAUUAGAUACCCCAGUAGUCCCUGUCUCUUAUAC
rnacentral:rRNA from 1 species